rnacentral:rRNA from 1 species
AGCUAAUAGAUACCCAGGUAGUCCACGCCGUAAACGUUGGGCGCUAGGUGUGGGGGCCAUUCCACGGUCUCCGUGCCGCAGCUAAACGCAUUAAGCGCCCCGCCUGGGGAGUACGGCCGCAAGGCUAAAACUCAAAGGAAUUGACGGGGGCCCGCACAAGCGGCGGAGCAUGUUGCUUAAUUCGAUGCAACGCGAAGAACCUUACCUAGGCUUGACAUGCACGGAAAUCUCGCAGAGAUGCGGGGUGCCUUUGGCGUCGUGCACAGGUGGUGCAUGGUUGUCGUCAGCUCGUGUCGUGAGAUGUUGGGUUAAGUCCCGCAACGAGCGCAACCCUCGUUCCAUGUUGCCAGCACGUAAUGGUGGGGACUCAUGGGAGACUGCCGGGGUCAACUCGGAGGAAGGUGGGGAUGACGUCAAAUCAUCAUGCCCCUUAUGUCUAGGGCUGCAAACAUGCUACAAUGGCCGGUACAAAGGGCUGCGAUACCGUGAGGUGGAGCGAAUCCCAAAAACGCCGGUCUCAGUUCGGAUU